rnacentral:rRNA from 1 species
CCUACGGGAGGCAGCAGUGGGGAAUAUUGGACAAUGGGCGAAAGCCUGAUCCAGCAAUGCCGCGUGAGUGAUGAAGGCCUUCGGGUCGUAAAGCUCUUUUACCAGGGAUGAUAAUGACAGUACCUGGAGAAUAAGCUCCGGCUAACUCCGUGCCAGCAGCCGCGGUAAUACGGAGGGAGCUAGCGUUGUUCGGAAUUACUGGGCGUAAAGAGUACGUAGGCGGUUAUUCAAGUCAGAGGUGAAAGCCCGGGGCUCAACCCCGGAACUGCCUUUGAAACUAGAUAACUAGAGUCUUGGAGAGGUUAGUGGAAUUCCGAGUGUAGAGGUGAAAUUCGUAGAUAUUCGGAAGAACACCAGUGGCGAAGGCGACUAACUGGACAAGUACUGACGCUGAGGUACGAAAGCGUGGGGAGCAAACAGGAUUAGAUACCCUGGUAGUCCACGCCGUAAACGAUGAUAACUAGUUGUUCGGUCACUUGGUGACUGAGUGACGCAGCUAACGCAUUAAGUUAUCCGCCUGGGGAGUACGGUCGCAAGAUUAAAACUCAAAUGAAUUGACGGCUGAGACGNGCGACGACGACGACGACGGGAGGUAGG